rnacentral:snoRNA from 7 species
CAGAAGUUGGGUAAGCCAUGAAUGGGAAAUUUCCUCAUUCUUGGUUACACUAUAGUUCGAAAAGAAUUCCUGGCUUCUUGUUGCACAGCUGACUCAUGCCAUUUUGCUGCUUCAUGGAGUUAAGGAACAUGA